GCCGACAUAGCAGGAGAGUGCGUGAACUUCCUCACAGGGGCCUCCGGACCACAAUAACGAACAACCUCGUCCCAAUUUUCCUCACAAAACAAGGAACCAUCAUCAAAAUCAGAAUUUUCAGGUUCAAAUGAAGGGUUAAUAACAGAUAUAGAUGGAUUUAAAGGCAUGGGACCAGCUUCUGCCUCCUCCACCACUUCCGACUCCUCCUCUAUCUCCGAGAAACUCGCCGAGAACGGGAAAUCCACCGCCGGCGGGACACCCCACAAAGUGUAGUCCUCAUCUUCCGUGUCUGGAAUGUAAGCGCCGCUCAGGUAGGCUUCCCAAAGGUUGCUCAUCACUGCGGUUUACCGAUCUAAGCCGGCUUGGCUAAGAUCUGUGUCGAUCUGAACUCAA
rnacentral:lncRNA from 1 species